rnacentral:rRNA from 1 species
GACGAACGCUGUCGGCGUGCUUAACACAUGCAAGUCGAACGGAAAGGCCCUGCUUUUGUGGGGUGCUCGAGUGGCGAACGGGUGAGUAACACGUGAGUAACCUGCCCUUGACUUUGGGAUAACUUCAGGAAACUGGGGCUAAUACCGGAUAGGAGCUCCUGCUGCAUGGUGGGGGUUGGAAAGUUUCGGCGGUUGGGGAUGGACUCGCGGCUUAUCAGCUUGUUGGUGGGGUAGUGGCUUACCAAGGCUUUGACGGGUAGCCGGCCUGAGAGGGUGACCGGCCACAUUGGGACUGAGAUACGGCCCAGACUCCUACGGGAGGCAGCAGUGGGGAAUAUUGCACAAUGGGCGGAAGCCUGAUGCAGCAACGCCGCGUGCGGGAUGACGGCCUUCGGGUUGUAAACCGCUUUCGCCUGUGACGAAGCGUGAGUGACGGUAAUGGGUAAAGAAGCACCGGCUAACUACGUGCCAGCAGCCGCGGUGAUACGUAGGGUGCGAGCGUUGUCCGGAUUUAUUGGGCGUAAAGGGCUCGUAGGUGGUUGAUCGCGUCGGAAGUGUAAUCUUGGGGCUUAACCCUGAGCGUGCUUUCGAUGCGGGUUGACUUGAGGAAGGUAGGGGGGAAUGGAAUUCCUGGUGGAGCGGUGGAAUGCGCAGAUAUCAGGAGGAACACCAGUGGCGAAGGCGGUUCUCUGGGCCUUUCCUGACGCUGAGGAGCGAAAGCGUGGGGAGCGAACAGGCUUAGAUACCCUGGUAGUCCACGCUGUAAACGGUGGGUACUAGGUGUGGGGUCCAUUCCACGGGUUCCGUGCCGUAGCUAACGCUUUAAGUACCCCGCCUGGGGAGUACGGCCGCAAGGCUAAAACUCAAAGGAAUUGACGGGGCCCCGCACAAGCGGCGGAGCAUGCGGAUUAAUUCGAUGCAACGCGUAGAACCUUACCUGGGUUUGACAUGGAUCGGGAGUGCUCAGAGAUGGGUGUGCCUCUUUUGGGGUCGGUUCACAGGUGGUGCAUGGCUGUCGUCAGCUCGUGUCGUGAGAUGUUGGGUUAAGUCCCGCAACGAGCGCAACCCUUGUUCACUGUCGCCAGCACGUUAUGGUGGGGACUCAGUGGAGACCGCCGGGGUCAACUCGGAGGAAGGUGGGGAUGACGUCAAGUCAUCAUGCCCCUUAUGUCAGGGCUUCACGCAUGCUACAAUGGCUGGUACAGAGAGUGGCGAGCCUGUGAGGGUGAGCGAAUCUCGGAAAGCCGGUCUCAGUUCGGAUUGGGGUCUGCAACUCGACCUCAUGAAGUCGGAGUCGCUAGUAAUCGCAGAUCAGCAACGCUGCGGUGAAUACGUUCCCGGGGCU